UAUCCGUGAUGUGAGCAUGCACUUAGAAGAUCCUUAAACCUCUCUCAGCAUUUGAAGAAGGUUUCUUCCUCUUUCUGCGGAAAGUUCAUAAUGGCCCUUCUAAGGGU